AUGAUGCAUUUGUACGCAUGUUCUAGCUGUUACUGCCGCUGCUCAUUUGGUAUUCUAAUUGGAAGCAAAGUGCAGUUGCUUCAGAGGUCAAAUCUGCAAUUUAUUCAGAGGCCAAAAGUGCAGUCACUCCGUCAGAUGCAAGCUGCUGCAAUUUCUUCAGAGGCCAAAACUGCCACUGCUGCAGCCGCUCCCUCAGACGCGCAAGGCGAGCAGCGGCACGAGGUUCCCUCUGCCGCCCGAGCGGCAGGCACUGGCGGUGAUGAUGGGCGGCGGAUGCAGCCUGAGGUCGAGGCACAUGCGGCGAUGGUGGGGAGCGGAUCCAGCCUGAGGUCGAUGCAGCCGGCGGUGGUGGGCACCUGGACUUCUCCCUCUCCCGUUUCUCUUCCUCUCACAGCCGGAGCUGGCUGA
rnacentral:rRNA from 1 species